ACAGUGGGUUUGCCAUCGAGGGGCCAAAUAUUGGAGGACGCUAUUCAAAAACCAGAGAUCAUCUUCUGCUGAAGGAGGAGGUUUGCUCGAGACUGUAAAGAAGAAUCCAGCCGUACGGCACGGGCGCAGGAAAGAAACUGUAGUAUCUUUUCCCCCAAAACCCUCAGCCACAGCCUCUGCUCUGGCUGCGGCUGAUUUGUGCUGCAUCAGGUGCUGCCUAGAAAAGCUUUGUUUUGUCAUCUGUGUCAGUGAUGCUAAUUGAUGUAUGUCUCUCUCUCCCCUCUUCUUUCCCACAUGCCCGGUUCUGGUACCUUGGUGAAAAGGCCCAUUUAUGGUGAAUCUUGGAGCCAUCUUGCGAAACGUCGGGGGGGCGGCCGAGGGCUCAAAUAUUGGAGGUAUGUGGUACAAAACCAGAAGUGGUAGCCAGCCUGUUGG